rnacentral:rRNA from 1 species
CCUACGGGUGGCAGCAGUGAGGAAUAUUGGUCAAUGGACGCAAGUCUGAACCAGCCAUGCCGCGUGCAGGAAGACGGCUCUAUGAGUUGUAAACUGCUUUUGUACGAGGGUAAACGCAGAUACGCGUAUCUGUCUGAAAGUAUCGUACGAAUAAGGAUCGGCUAACUCCGUGCCAGCAGCCGCGGUAAUACGGAGGAUUCAAGCGUUAUCCGGAUUUAUUGGGUUUAAAGGGUGCGUAGGCGGUCGGAUAAGUUAGAGGUGAAAUCCCGAGGCUCAACUGCGGAAUUGCCUCUGAUACUGUUAGGCUAGAGAGUAGUAGCGGUAGGCGGAAUGUGUGGUGUAGCGGUGAAAUGCUUAGAGAUCAUGCAGAACACCGAUUGCGAAGGCAGCUUACCGAGCUACUACUGACGUUGAGGCACGAAAGCGUGGGGAGCAAACAGGAUUAGAUACCCGAGUAGUC